rnacentral:rRNA from 1 species
GGGGAAUAUUGCACAAUGGGCGAAAGCCUGAUGCAGCAACGCCGCGUGAGUGAUGACGGUCUUCGGAUUGUAAAGCUCUGUCUUUUGGGACGAUAAUGACGGUACCAAAGGAGGAAGCCACGGCUAACUACGUGCCAGCAGCCGCGGUAAUACGUAGGUGGCAAGCGUUGUCCGGAUUUACUGGGCGUAAAGGAUGUGUAGGCGGAUACUUAAGUGAGAUGUGAAAGCCCCGGGCUCAACCUGGGGACUGCAUUUCAAACUGGGUAUCUAGAGUGCAGGAGAGGAAAGCGGAAUUCCUAGUGUAGCGGUGAAAUGCGUAGAGAUUAGGAAGAACAUCAGUGGCGAAGGCGGCUUUCUGGACUGUAACUGACGCUGAGGCAUGAAAGCGUGGGGAGCAAAC